CUUUUUUUUUUUUUUUAACUACUAAAACAAAUCAUGAUGUGUUACUCUGUCGACUUCAAACUAGGUUUCAUGUUCUUUUUUUUUUUCCUGUUCCUAGUCCAGUUGUAAAUAUCUCUCUGCUUGGACAAGACUGUGUUUGAAGCCAGACUGUCACACUGGUAGUCUCUGCUGUAUGUGUCUCUAAGUGUAUAUAUAUAUAUAUUCAGACAUGACCGUACCGAAUGCUUUGUUGGUUUCUACUUUGUACGAGAACAAAAGGACUUGUUGACCCUCUGAUUAAUACCUCAAUGUAUUUCUUAGUAGUAUUUCUUAUACCCACUUCAUACAAUUUUUUUGUUUCUGCAAAGAUUAGCAUCAUAAAAUACUUAUACUCUAGUAAAAAAAAAUUUAAAACUAACUAUUAAAUUAUGGAAGAAAAAAAACUGGGAAAAAAGGCAUAUUCUUGUCAGCACAAACACUAUGUACUUUAUUGACCAUGCUAAAUAAGUGAUCCCCCAUUUCCAAGUUCUAUGAUUAAAUUAUUGCUCUCUGCUUUGUCCUGGUGAGACAAUUGUAUAGACAUGUCAUCUCAUUUUUUUUUUGUUUUUCCUUUCUCAUCAUUAUGUUUGUACAGAUUUCAUUCUAGCCUAUUGAUGAGCACUUUUCACAAAUUAAAACAUACUGUAUACAAUGGAGAACGA